GCUCAGAUUGAACGCUGGCGGCAGGCCUAACACAUGCAAGUCGAGCGGUAGCACAAGAGAGCUUGCUCUCUGGGUGACGAGCGGCGGACGGGUGAGUAAUGUCUGGGAAACUGCCUGAUGGCGGGGGAUAACUAGUGGAAACGGUAGCUAAUACCGCAUAACGUCGCAAGACCAAAGUGGGGGACCUUCGGGCCUCACGCCAUCAGAUGUGCCCAGGUGGGAUUAGCUGGUAGGUGGGGUAACGGCUCACCUAGGCGACGAUCCCUAGCUGGUCUGAGAGGAUGACCAGCCACACUGGAACUGAGACACGGUCCAGACUCCUACGGGAGGCAGCAGUGGGGAAUAUUGCACAAUGGGCGCAAGCCUGAUGCAGCCAUGCCGCGUGUGUGAAGAAGGCCUUCGGG
rnacentral:rRNA from 1 species